CGGGGAUUGGCGCAGUUGGCUAGCGCGCCUGCUUUGGGAGCAGGAGGUCGCGAGUUCGAGUCUCGCAUCCCCGA
rnacentral:tRNA from 1 species